rnacentral:rRNA from 1 species
CCCUUAGAUGUUCUGGGCCGCACGCGCGCUACACUGAUGCAUUCAACGAGCCUAGCCUUGACCGAGAGGUCCGGGUAAUCUUUGAAACUGCAUCGUGAUGGGGCUAGAUUAUUGCAAUUAUUAAUCUUCAACGAGGAAUGCCUAGUAAGCGUGAUUCAUCAAAUCGCGUUGAUUACGUCCCUGCCCUUUGUACACACCGCCCGUCGCUCCUACCGAUUGAGUGUGUUGGUGAGGAGUUUGGAUUGGCCUCGGACGGUGGUUCGCCACCGUCCGUAGCUGAGAAGUUCUCCAAACCGCCCCACUUAGAGGAAGGAGAAGUCGUAACA